AGUGAACGCUGGCGGUAGGCCUAACACAUGCAAGUCGAACGGCAGCACAGUAAGAGCUUGCUCUUACGGGUGGCGAGUGGCGGACGGGUGAGGAAUACAUCGGAAUCUACUUUUUCGUGGGGGAUAACGUAGGGAAACUUACGCUAAUACCGCAUACGACCUACGGGUGAAAGCAGGGGAUCUUCGGACCUUGCGCGAUUGAAUGAGCCGAUGUCGGAUUAGCUAGUUGGCGGGGUAAAGGCCCACCAAGGCGACGAUCCGUAGCUGGUCUGAGAGGAUGAUCAGCCAAACUGGAACUGAGACACGGUCCAGACUCCUACGGGAGGCAGCAGUGGGGAAUAUUGGACAAUGGGCGCAAGCCUGAUCCAGCCAUACCGCGUAGGUGAAGAAGGCCUUCGGGUUGUAAAGCCCUUUUGUUGGGAAAGAAAAGCAGCAGGUUAAUACCCCGCUGUUCUGACGGUACCCAAAGAAUAAGCACCGGCUAACUUCGUG
rnacentral:rRNA from 1 species